UACGUAGGUGGCAAGUGUUGUCCGGAUUUACUGGGCGUAAAGCGCACGCAGGUGGCUGAGUCAGUCGAUUGUGAAAGCCCUGGGCUUAACCUGGGAAUUGCAGUCGAUACUACUCAGCUAGAGUAUGGGAGAGGGUAGUGGAAUUCCCGGUGUAGCGGUGAAAUGCGUUAGAUAUCGGGAGGAACAUCAGUGGCGAAGGCGGCUACCUGGCCCAAUACUGACACUCAGGUGCGACAGCGUGGGGAGCAAACAGG
rnacentral:rRNA from 1 species